rnacentral:rRNA from 1 species
AAUGAACGCUGGCGGCGCGCCUAAUACAUGCAAGUCGAGCGAGAAGACGUAGCAAUACGUUUGUAAAGCGGCGAACGGGUGAGGAAUACAUGGGUAACCUACCCUCGAGUGGGGAAGUAACUAGCCGAAGGUUAGCUAAUACCGCGUACGCUCCUUGGACUUCGGUUCAGGGAGGAAAGCGAUACCGUGGGUAUCGCGCUCUUGGUUGGGCUCAUGUCCUAUCAGCUUGUUGGUGAGGAACGGCUCACCAAGGCUUCGACGGGUAGCUGGUCUGAGAGGACGAUCAGCCACACUGGCACUGCGACACGGGCCAGACUCCUACGGGAGGCAGCAGUAAGGAAUAUUGCGCAAUGGGCGAAAGCCUGACGCAGCGACGCCGCGGGGGAGU